GGUGGCUCAGUGGUGGAGUGCUUGCCUUGCAUGCAUGAGGCUCUGGGUUCAAUUCCUCAGCACCA
rnacentral:tRNA from 1 species